rnacentral:Y_RNA from 1 species
GGCUGGUCUGAAGGCAGUGAGUUAUCGCAAUCGACUGUUCACAGUUAGCUACGGAUUGAACUCCUGUUCUACACUCCCCUCUCCCCUUCUCAUUAUUGCACUUAACUAGUUGUUA